rnacentral:lncRNA from 1 species
CUCCCUCCCAUCCUUUAUCAAUCUCAUGCUUCUCUUGCUCAUCCAAUAAGCUGAAGAGAUAAAAAGAUUAAGUCUAGUGGCCAAGCUCCUCUUUGUCCCUUCUUCCUGUGCUCCAUCUCUUCUGAAAUUUUGUUAUUUUUUGGGCAAAUUAUGAGAUUUGGGUUUGGCCCUCUACCUCCCCUACACCAUCUUCUUUAAGGCUGGUGUCUCCUUCCUCUUUGGCUUCCUUGCCAACACCUUCUGCAUCUUCUCUGCCAAGG